rnacentral:rRNA from 1 species
GAUGAACGCUGGCGGCGUGCCUAAUACAUGCAAGUCGAGCGAACGGACGAGAAGCUUGCUUCUCUGAUGUUAGCGGCGGACGGGUGAGUAACACGUGGAUAACCUACCUAUAAGACUGGGAUAACUUCGGGAAACCGGAGCUAAUACCGGAUAAUAUUUUGAACCGCAUGGUUCAAAAGUGAAAGACGGUCUUGCUGUCACUUAUAGAUGGAUCCGCGCUGCAUUAGCUAGUUGGUAAGGUAACGGCUUACCAAGGCAACGAUGCAUAGCCGACCUGAGAGGAUGAUCAGCCACACGGGAACUGAGACACGGUCCGGACUCCUACGGGAGGCAGCAGUAGGGAAGCUUCCGCAAUGGGCGAGAGCCUGACGGAGCAACGCCGCGUGAGUGAUGAAGAUCUUCGGAUCGUAAAAAUCUGUUAAUAGGGAAGAACAAAUGUGUAAGUAACUGUGCACAUCUUGACGGUACCUAAUCAGAAAGCCACGGCUAACUACGUG